CAGCCGCCGCGGGAAUACGUAGGGUGCAAGCGUUAAUCGGAAUUACUGGGCGUAAAGCGUGCGCAGGCGGUUAUAUAAGACAGAUGUGAAAUCCCCGGGCUCAACCUGGGAACUGCAUUUGUGACUGUAUAGCUAGAGUACGGCAGAGGGGGAUGGAAUUCCGCGUGUAGCAGUGAAAUGCGCAGAUAUGCGGAGGAACACCGAUGGCGAAGGCAAUCCCCUGGGCCUGUACUGACGCUCAUGCACGAAAGCGUGGGGAGCAAACAGGAUUAGAUACCCCAGUAGUCCCUGUCUCUUAUAC
rnacentral:rRNA from 1 species